AAUGAACGUUGGCGGCGUGGAUUAGGCAUGCAAGUCGCGCGAUAAAUGUAGCAAUACAUGGAAAGCGGCGAAAGGGACAGUAACGUGUGGGAACCUACCUCGGGGUCUGGGAUAGCGGCGGGAAACUGCCGGUAAUACCAGAUGACAUCCCCGGAUCAAAGGUGGGAUUCCGCCCUGAGAUGGGCCCACAUGCUAUUAGUUAGUUGGCGGGGUAAUGGCCCACCAAGACUAAGAUGGCUAGCGGGUGUGAGAGCACGACCCGCGUCACUGGGACUGAGAAACUGCCCAGACACCUACGGGUGGCUGCAGUCGAGAAUCUUCGGCAAUGGGCGCAAGCCUGACCGAGCGACGCCGCGUGCGGGAUGAAGGCCCUCGGGUUGUAAACCGCUGUCGAGGGGGAUGAAAUUCCGGUGGGUACUCCCAUCGGAUUGACAGAUCCCUGGAGGAAGGGUGGGCUAAGUUCGUGCCAGCCGCCGCCGUAA
rnacentral:rRNA from 1 species